rnacentral:tRNA from 1 species
UCCCUGGUGGCUCAGCAGGUAAAGAAUCUGCCUGCAAUGCAGGAGACCCAGGUUCAAUCCCUGGAUUGGGAA